rnacentral:rRNA from 1 species
UACGAAGGGGGCUAGCGUUGCUCGGAAUCACUGGGCGUAAAGGGUGCGUAGGCGGGGCUUUAAGUCAGGGGUGAAAUCCUGGAGCUCAACUCCAGAACUGCCUUUGAUACUGAGGAUCUUGAGUACGGGAGAGGUGAGUGGAACUGCGAGUGUAGAGGUGAAAUUCGUAGAUAUUCGCAAGAACACCAGUGGCGAAGGCGGCUCACUGGCCCGUUACUGACGCUGAGGAGCGAAAGCGUGGGGAGCGAACAGG